GAUCCUGGCUCAGGACGAACGCUGGCGGCGUGCUUAACACAUGCAAGUCGAACGGGGUGUUUAUUUCGGUAAACACCAAGUGGCGAACGGGUGAGUAACGCGUAAGCAAUCUACCUUCAAGAUGGGGACAACACUUCGAAAGGGGUGCUAAUACCGAAUGAAUGUAAGAGUAUCGCAUGAGACACUUACUAAAGGAGGCCUCUGAAAAUGCUUCCGCUUGAAGAUGAGCUUGCGUCUGAUUAGCUAGUUGGUGAGGGUAAAGGCCCACCAAGGCGACGAUCAGUAGCCGGUCUGAGAGGAUGAACGGCCACAUUGGGACUGAGACACGGCCCAGACUCCUACGGGAGGCAGCAGUGGGGAAUCUUCCGCAAUGGGCGAAAGCCUGACGGAGCAACGCCGCGUGAACGAUGAAGGUCUUAGGAUCGUAAAGUUCUGUUGUUAGGGACGAAGGGUAAGAAUCAUAAUAAGGUUUUUAUUUGACGGUACCUAACGAGGAAGCCACGGCUAACUACGUGCCAGCAGCCGCGGUAAUACGUAGGCGGCAAGCGUUGUCCGGAAUUAUUGGGCGUAAAGGGAGCGCAGGCGGGAAACUAAGCGGAUCUUAAAAGUGCGGGGCUCAACCCCGUGAUGGGGUCCGAACUGGUUUUCUUGAGUGCAGGAGAGGAAAGCGGAAUUCCCAGUGUAGCGGUGAAAUGCGUAGAUAUUGGGAAGAACACCAGUGGCGAAGGCGGCUUUCUGGACUGUAACUGACGCUGAGGCUCGAAAGCUAGGGUAGCGAACGGGAUUAGAUACCCCGGUAGUCCUAGCCGUAAACGAUGGAUACUAGGUGUGGGAGGUAUCGACCCCUUCCGUGCCGGAGUUAACGCAAUAAGUAUCCCGCCUGGGGAGUACGGCCGCAAGGUUGAAACUCAA
rnacentral:rRNA from 1 species